rnacentral:rRNA from 2 species
GUGUGCCUAAUACAUGCAAGUCGAACGCGUUGGCCCAACUGAUUGAACGUGCUUGCACGGACUUGACGUUGGUUUACCAGCGAGUGGCGGACGGGUGAGUAACACGUAGGUAACCUGCCCCAAAGCGGGGGAUAACAUUUGGAAACAGAUGCUAAUACCGCAUAACAAUUUGAAUCGCAUGAUUCAAAUUUAAAAGAUGGCUUCGGCUAUCACUUUGGGAUGGACCUGCGGCGCAUUAGCUUGUUGGUAGGGUAACGGCCUACCAAGGCUGUGAUGCGUAGCCGAGUUGAGAGACUGAUCGGCCACAAUGGAACUGAGACACGGUCCAUACUCCUACGGGAGGCAGCAGUAGGGAAUCUUCCACAAUGGGCGCAAGCCUGAUGGAGCAACACCGCGUGAGUGAAGAAGGGUUUCGGCUCGUAAAGCUCUGUUGUUAGAGAAGAACGUGCGUGAGAGCAACUGUUCACGCAGUGACGGUAUCUAACCAGAAAGUCACGGCUAACUACGUGCCAGCAGCCGCGGUAAUACGUAGGUGGCAAGCGUUAUCCGGAUUUAUUGGGCGUAAAGCGAGCGCAGGCGGUUUGAUAAGUCUGAUGUG